GACGUAGGGAGCGAGCGUUGUCCGGAUUCAUUGGGCGUAAAGCGGGCGUAGGUGGCCUUGCAAGUCAGGAGUGAAAGCCCUGGGCUCAACCCAGGAAGUGCUCUUGAUACUGCUUGGCUUGAAUGUGGGAGAGGGUAGUGGAAUCCCAGGUGUAGUGGUGAAAUACGUAGAUAUCUGGAGGAACACCGGUGGCGAAGGCGGCUACCUGGCCCAACAUUGACACUGAGGCCCGAAAGCGUGGGGAUCAAACAGG
rnacentral:rRNA from 1 species